ACUGUGUUGGCAGAAAUUAUGCGUUAGAUUUAGAAUCUAUUUAUGUAAUUAUUAUUACAUGCAGUA
rnacentral:tRNA from 1 species